CCUACGGGUGGCAGCAGUGGGGAAUAUUGGGCAAUGGGCGCAAGCCUGACCCAGCAACGCCGCGUGAAGGAAGAAGGCUUUCGGGUUGUAAACUUCUUUUCUCAGGGACGAAGCAUGUGACGGUACCUGAGGAAUAAGCCACGGCUAACUACGUGCCAGCAGUCGCGGUAAUACGUAGGUGGCAAGCGUUAUCCGGAUUUACUGGGUGUAAGGGGCGGGUAGGCGGGUACGCAAGUCAGAUGUGAAAACCACGGGCUCAACCUGUGGCCUGCAGUUGAAACUGGGUUUCUUGAGUACUGGAGAGGCAGGCGGAAUUCCUAGUGUAGCGGUGAAAUGCGUAGAUAUUAGGAGGAACACCGAUGGCGAAGGCGGCCUGCUGGACAGCAACUGACGCUGAGGCGCGAAAGCGUGGGGAGCAAACAGGAUUAGAUACCCCAGUAGUC
rnacentral:rRNA from 1 species